rnacentral:rRNA from 1 species
UACGGAGGGGGCUAGCGUUGUUCGGAAUUACUGGGCGUAAAGCGCACGUAGGCGGCUGUUCAAGUCAGAGGUGAAAGCCUGGAGCUCAACUUCGGAAUUGCCUUUAAGACUGCAUCACUUGAACGUCGGAGAGGUGAGUGGAAUUCCGAGUGUAGAGGUGAAAUUCGUAGAUAUUCGGAAGAACACCAGUGGCGAAGGCGGCCAACUGGACCAACACUGACGCUGAGGCGCGAAAGCGUGGGGAGCAAACAGG